rnacentral:rRNA from 1 species
GCCUCCUUCGGGACACGAGCACAGGUGCUGCAUGGCUGUCGUCAGCUCGUGUCGUGAGAUGUUGGGUUAAGUCCCGCAACGAGCGCAACCCUUGCCCCGUGUUGCCAACAGGUAAAGCUGGGAACUCUCGGGGGACUGCCGGCGUCAAGCCGGAGGAAGGUGGGGACGACGUCAAGUCAUCAUGGCCCUUACGCCCAGGGCUACACACGUGCUACAAUGGCAGGGACAGAGGGCUGCAAGAGCGCGAGCUGGAGCGAAUCCCACAAACCCUGUCUAGGUUCGGAUUGCAGGCUGCAACUCGCCUGCAUGAAGCUGGAAUCGCUAGUAAUCGCGGAUCAGCUACGCCGCGGUGAAUACGUUCCCGGGCCUUGUACACACCGCCCGUCACGCCAUGGAAGCCGGGAGUGCCCGAAGUCCGCGUCCUAACCGCAAGGAGGGAGCGGCCGAAGGCAAGCUCGGUGACUGGGGCGAAGUCGUAACAAGGUAGCCGUAGGGGAACC